UACGUAGGGAGCAAGCGUUGUCCGGAAUCACUGGGCGUAAAGCGCGCGUAGGCGGCCAUGUAAGUCCGUUGUGAAAGUCAAAGGCUCAACCUUUGAAAGCCGAUGGAUACUGCAGGGCUAGAGUCCGGAAGAGGCGAGUGGAAUUCCUGGUGUAGCGGUGGAAUGCGCAGAUAUCAGGAGGAACACCAAUAGCGAAGGCAGCUCGCUGGGACGGUACUGACGCUAAGGCGCGAAAGCGUGGGGAGCGAACAGG
rnacentral:rRNA from 1 species